GCGCGGAAGUAGCACGUUAAAUGCACCGCUUCUCAAUGGAUCACUGAAGUUAACCAACGUUGCACGUGGUUGGUAUCCGCAAGGGUGACCUCCUGGACAAUCGCGUGCUGAUUGCA
rnacentral:rRNA from 1 species